UAUCUGGACGGUGGACUGAUGCCU
rnacentral:siRNA from 1 species